CAGCAGUGGGGGAAUAUUGCACAAUGGGCGCAAGCCUGAUGCAGCCAUGCCGCGUGUGUGAAGAAGGCCUUCGGGUUGUUAAAGCACUUUCAGUCGUGAGGAAGGUGGUGUAGUUAAUAGCUGCAUCAUUUGACGUUAGCGACAGAAGAAAGCACCGGCUAACUCCGUGCCAGCAGCCGCGGUAAUACGGAGGGUGCGAGCGUUAAUCGGAAUUACUGGGCGUAAAGCGCAUGCAGGUGGUUUGUUAAGUCAGAUGUGAAAGCCCGGGGCUCAACCUCGGAAUAGCAUUUGAAACUAGGCAGACUAGAGUACUGUAGAGGGGGGUAGGAAUUUCAGGUGUAGCGGUGAAAUAGCGUAGAGAUCUGAAGGAAUACCGGUGGCGAAGGCGGCCCCCUCGGACAGAUACUGACACUCAGAUGCGAAAGCGUGGGGAGCAAACAGGAUUAGAUACCCUGGUAG
rnacentral:rRNA from 1 species